rnacentral:rRNA from 1 species
UCCUACGGGAGGCAGCAGUGGGGAAUAUUGCACAAUGGGCGCAAGCCUGAUGCAGCCAUGCCGCGUGUAGGAAGAAGGCUUUCGGGUUGUAAAGUACUUUCAGCGGGGAGGAAGGGCUGAGGUUUAUAACCUUGCUCAUGACGUACCCGCAGA